rnacentral:lncRNA from 1 species
UUGCGAUUCGUUCUUCUUUGGCUAGGACAAAUAUUUCAAUCUUGGAACAGAGGAAGGAAGACACAAGUUGGUCCGUCCAACGACGGCCUUUGAAUUUUUUGUACAGGUAAAGUUUUCUGUUCCUUUUUCUCCUUUUGUGUCUUCUUCUUCCCCAUGAAGGAUACGUGCGUAGAUUGAUUUAUACAGAAAGCUAAGUCAAUGACUUGAUGUGAAACUAUGUAUGUGUAUGCCUAGAUAACUUACUAGACCCUACUAACACGACCAUUUAUGUUAAACUGAAGUAUAAUCAGGUUGGUUGGCUUUUCUAUACGUGUAUGCCUACUUACCUUGCUUUACGUGAUGAUUUAUUGCCAGCCAUAGAAAGGUUCUGAUUUUGAAUUUUGUGAAGUUCAAUUCAUAUUGCAAUUUUUCUCCAGAUAUUUUUGUAUGGACAAUGUGUUUGGCGUUUAAAUCAAGACAAUGCAAAAUUCAUAGAAAUUGCGAGGCAUGGAAAGGAUUUGAUCUUGGUCAUUUUCCUAUUCUCUAAAUGAUUUUUUUGAACCGAAACCGUAGAAUAAUCGUUCUACGGGAAUUUCAUUAAAAUAAAUAGUUUACAAUAUAUACAAAGUGAACCAAAGAAUGGCUCAACCCACUCCUGUUUGUUUGAAUCCUGAAGCUAUCAUUAUUAAGUUAAAUGUUGCUCAAUCCAGCUGGAAAAUUGGUCUCUGAAUUUAGUCUUCAGUCUGUGCAAUAGAAGCUAUAGGUCAGCCUUGAGUGAGGCCUUCCAAGCUUGGAUUGUGGCCUGUUUUUCCUUGAAGAUUUUGUCAUUUCUUUGUAUCCAGAUGUUCCAACAUCCCAUAAUCAUGAUUUCCAUGGCAAAAGCAGUAGGCAAGGUCUGAAUGGCAAAUGAGACCUCAUCAAAGAUGGAGAAUCCUCUACGUCUGGGACCCAAAAGGGAUUGCCAACAAUUAAAUGCAAAGUCACAGUCCCAAAAUAGAUGUUGAUAUGUUUCCUCCGUGCUCAUUUGACAAAGUGCACAAUUAUAGGAAGGCAAGUGAAAUGAUCUUCGUUGAAGCAUGUUUCUGGUAUUGACCCUGUCAUGCAAUAAGAGCCAGAAAAAGAUCUUGUAUCGAAGCAUGGUUGCAUUCUUCCAGAGCUUUUUGAAAAGUGGUGCAGCUUGUUGACCCUUUGUCAGCUCUUUAUACAUCUUGAUCGAUGAAUAAGAUGUUCCCCAAGGAUAUGUCCAUCGAUCACCAUGAUUUGAAAGUUGUAUAGACUCAAGGGUGCCCUAGAGCUCUAUGAACUGGUUUUGUGCUUGAGCUGAGAGUGGGAGGAAGAAAUUGUCACUUAUGUUUGGCUGAUGUAAAAACUCCUGAAUGCUCACUGUGUCCUUGGUGGCAAAGGAGUAAAGCUCUGGGAAUUUAUGUCUUGUGGUGCCAUGUCCCCAGUUGUCCAUCCAAAAAUCAAUAGUGUUUCCUGUGCCCAACUGCCCUUUGGCUACCAUUUUAAAACUAGGUAACAGUUUGAAGAUACUUUUCCACCAGAAUGAGCCAACAUUCCUAUUAGUGAUCACUCCAUCAGGAUAGUAAGAAUCCCAAAUAAGAUGUACCCAAGGAAGAUUUUCUUUAUGGAGAAACUUAUGCAGAUGCUUCAUUAAGAGACAUUUAUUAUGAAUUUCAAUGUUGAGAACUCCCUAUCCUCCCUGAUCUUUGGGCAGACAAACUUUGUCCCAGGCUAUGACUGUAGUACCUCUGUCCUCCAUGCCAUAUUUCCUCCAGAAGCAAUGCUUUAAAGCUUUAUUGAUUUGAUCAAUUAUGCCCUUUGGUAGAUCAAGGGUGCACAUGAAGAAAAUAGGAAGAUGUACAAAGACAGAUUUGAUGAGAGUAAGCUUGUCUCCAUAGGAUAGAAAAGUUGAGCAACUAGACAAUCUUCUGUCAAUCCUCUUGAUGACAAGAAAAAAAUCUUCCAGCUUAGGCUUGGAGAGUGACAAAGGUAGUCCAAGAUAUGUGAAAUGGAAGGAGCCAAUAGAGUACACCAGUCUGGCAGCUAAAGCUUGCAUGACCUCAUUCCCUAUGUUGAUAGGCACCAUGGCUGAUUUGUCAAAGUUAACUCUCAACCCUGUAAAAACUGUGAAAUGGAGAAUGAGGUUCUCGAGCUGUUCCACUUGCAUUGCAGAGGCUGGCAUAAUCAAAACAGUGUCAUCAGCAUAUUGAAUGACUGGGAUAUCAGGACAGUGGUGCUGCUCAAGUGCUCUUGAGAUCAAGUUGUUAUGCAUGGCCUCAUUCAGAAUAGACUGCAAAAGAUCUGCAGCAAGCAAAAAAGCAAUGGAGAGAGAGGAUCUCCCUGCCUCACUCCUGUUUUGCACAGAAACUGCUUCCCAGGGACCCCAUUUAGCAACACAGCAGAAUAUCCAGAGGAAAAAAGCAUGUCCAUCCACAUAAGCCAUCUGUUACCAAAACUUCUUGCAAUGAGAAUAUCUUUAAUGGACUGAUGUUCAAUAAGAUCAAAAGCCUUCUCAAAAUCCAAUUUUAAAACAAUAAUCUCUUUGCCAGACAUUUUACAUUGAUGAAUGAAUUCAUAUGACCAAGCAAGACAAUCCUGGAUGGAUCUUGCCUUUAAAAAUCCAUACUGGUUGGUAUGAACUAGCUUCAAAAUGACCUCUUGGAGUCUAUUUGCCAAAAGCUUUGUGAUGAUCUUAAUUGAUCAGUUAAGCAGUGAUAUUGGCCUGAAAUCACUGGGUGUAGUUGGAGCAUCUUUCUUAGGAAUGAGAGUAAUAAAUGAAGAGUUGAUGCUCUGCAAGCUGAUUCUGCCAUGAUAAAAAUCCUCAAUUAAAGCGUAGAAAUCAGGGGCAGAAUAUCCCAGCAAUGCUUGAUGAAGUUUGUAUUGAAGCCAUCUGGUCCUGGAGCCUUGUCAUUAGGCAGAUUUUUGACAACUGUAUCAAUUUCUUCCUGAGAGAAAGGAAUUUCUAAUAGAGAGAAAUCCACAUCUCUAUUCAACAGAUUACCGAAAUUAAGAGGGUUGAAAGUGGGCACAGAAGUAUUUAAUCUCUUUUUGAAAGCAUUGAAGAGGAUAUUAGCUUUGGCAUUGUGUUCUCUAUGAAUGUUGCCCAAAUCAUCCUGCAAACUGGCAAUGUGAUUAACCUUGUAUUUGAUGGUGGCUUUGGCCUGAAAAUACUUUGAGUUUGCCUCUCCAAAUUUGACCCAUCUAAUUGUAGCUCUCUGUUGCCAAUAGACCCUUUGCCUUUCCAGAAGUGUGUGCAGAUGCUGCUUUAGAAACUCUCUCCCAUUCCAUUCUUGUAAAGUGAGGGUUCUAAAAUCUUCUAUUGAGUCCAGAAAAAGAAUGACUUCAUUAGUGGCUUUAAUGGAAAUACUGAGCUGAGAGAUUGAUUUUGCCCAAAUUUUGAGACACUUUCUGAGCCUUUUGAAUUUUGCGGUAAUUCUCUUUGCACUGUCUGGGAUGUUGAUCGCCUGUUCCCAAUUCUGCUUAACAAUAUCUUUGAAACCCUCAAUUUGCAGCCAAAAGUUUUCAAACCUGAAGAUUUUAGACUUGGGAAUAUGUGUACCAACUUGCACCUGACAGGGUAUGUGAUCUGAGACAGGUUUGGACAAAGGUUGAACUAGAGUGUUAGGAAAGUGAGAAGUCCAAGAUUCAGAAGUGAACACCCAGUCUAAUUUCUCCAGUAAGGGGGCUUGCUGCAUAUUGCUGCAAGUGAAGCUUCUUCAUUUCAAUGGGAUUUCAACCAGGGCCAGGCUACUGAUGGCAUCAUUAAAUUUUAACAUAUCAGAGAAAUUGCCCCCAGACCUGCUUCUAUUGUGUGGGUAUCUAAUGUAAUUGAAGUCUCACAUGAUCAUCCACUUGGUCUCAUCAGGCAUUUGGAUGCUGAACCAGUUCAGGAAAUCUUCUCUAACUGCACCUUGACAUGGGCCAUAAAUGUUGGUAAGAAUCCAAGAAUCACUAGUGAGCUUAGAUGUGAAUCUGAUGGAAAUGGAAAACUCAUUUUGAAAAAGAGUUUCUCCAUCAAAAAUGCUGCCAUUCCAUGCUAUGAGAAGACCACCAGAAGCACCCACAGAGGGUAGAAAGUCAAAACAAUUUAUCCUGUUGGGGCAGAAGUUUUUGAGAUAUCCGUAAUCAAAAUGCUCUUUCUUAGUUUCUUGGAGACAGACAAUAUCUACAUUUGCCUCAGCAAUCUUAUUUCUAAGAGCAAGCCAUUUGUUACUGUCAUUAAUACCUCUGAUGUUCCAAUUGAGAAUGUUCCAGUUUCUAUUCAUGGUCAGAUAAUGUCAUGUGUGUAAUUGUUACUAUUCUUUUGAAGAAACCAGAUAAAUAAAACCAAGCAAGCAAUAUAUAACAAGCGAGCUUCCAGCACAACAGAGUAUCAGACCACAACUUUUCCACAGUACAUGAGUCAGACUCAACACAGAGGUAGGUAAUAAAGCAACUGUCAUAGGGCAUCAUAUUAGAGUUCAGGCUCAUUAUAAAAGCAAUGUCUCUCACAAGUACCAUUGAUAGAAGAUCACAAAAGUGCAACAGAGUCCCAGAUCUAAUACUUAUUAAUGCUGACAUAAUUAACUUCAGAAAGCUAGCUAAGGCUUGAAAGUAGCCUUCUUGGAUGAUCCUUUGGCAGCAGCCUUGGCCUCCUUCUUCUUGGGCUGGUGCAACAUCUCCUCAAAGUAGUCCUUUGCAACAGCCUUGCAAAAGGAAACAACAAGAUUCUUUACAAUCUUUGUAGUAAUAGCAGGAGGAUCAGAAGAACAGGGGAAACGGUUUUUGUCUGAGCAUGAUUUCCUCCUUAAUCCAUUGUUUAAAGCUUGCAAUCUGAAGCUCCUUCUUACCUCAGUUUCAACCAUGGGAGCUUUAUCUUUCCACUUCCUUUGGGCGUGAGCAAGAGAGGUGCUGGCAGCUGGCAGAGGGGGAGUGCUGCUUCUGUGCAGUGCCUGAGGUGUCAAAUUAACAUUAGAAGAAACUUCUAGUUCCUCAUCUGAAUUCUUACAACAAAUAAUCUGGUCACUUUGACACUUUUUAGGUAUUACAAAAGGUAAAGUUUGAUUACUGGCAGAACCUUCAAUGAUAUAAUUCCAUAAUUGGGAAGCAAGUAAAGAUUUGGCCCAGUUAAAGUUGUCAACAGUCAAAAGAGCAAAAGUGAUGAAUUUGCACCAUUCAACAGGUACCUGAGUAACUUUAUCUGUUGAGGCCUUAGGAGCAAAAUGUGUCUUCCAAAGCUCCAGCCCUUCUUUGGAGAGAAACUCCUCAUCUUGGCCUGAAGAUAAGUUGCUAGUAACUGAAUAUCCUUGCCAGCAAAGCUUGCAUUGAAAAUAGGAAAAGGGAAGCCAGGAGGGGCCUCCAAACUGUUACCUGCUGAAGAACUGGAGAUUUCUUCAUUUUGGUUGUUUGCCUCUAGAUGGUCUGCAUUUUGAUGUGUUGGUGAGGCAUGUGAUCUCUGAGAAAUAAUAGCUGGGCCUUCCACAUUGGCCAGAGAAUUUGGAACAUCAGAGCUGGGCUCCUUGUCAGGCAGCUAGGCAGGGGCAGCAAGAUCAUCUAUGUUUGAAGCAUCAACAGACAACCCUUCUGCAACCAUAGCUGUCGGCGUCCUGGGAACGGGGGUUCCCAGACUUGCCUGCCUACGGCCCACAGCAUGGCUCCACCAGCAGCCCUAUACGGCCCAUCCUCACCAGCAAACAAUCAAGACCCUCGCGAGGGGCCAAGCCUCGCGAGGUGAAUGACACAAGACCUCCUCGGGGGCAGCCUCACCAGGCCGGCUCGCGAGGGGCGGAGAGAUCAAGGCAAGGGACACCUCGCGAGAUUCCUGUGACACAAGCCAUGACGACUAGAGCCAGGCGGGCGCCAGCGCGUGCAGUGUCCUCGUUUCCUCUUUGGUGCUAAAGAGGCAAGCGCAGGCGAGGAGUCCCGAGGCAUCAGGAAAAGGUUUCCAUAUCGGUGCAACGAGACCAAGACCAGCAGGACGGCAGGACGGAGGUCACCGUGGAACCCAAGACGGUGUCACCACCAGAGCCUUUGGCAGGCGAAGACCACCUUUAGCCAGGAUAACUUGUACUAGUUGUCUCCCUUCGAAUUUGGCCAUUGUUGGAUCCCUUCUCGCUCAAUAUUUGGGGAGAGGACCAGGGCCUCUAUAAAUAGGACUAGCCACCACCAUGGGGGGGGGGAUCGGGAACGGAUCAUUCAGAUCAUCCUAAACCACACAAGUUCACCAAGCACAAGAACACCUCUCCUCAGGAGGCUGUUCUUCCCUUGUAACUGUUCAUCCUCAGCCCAAGAGGCAAUCCACCACACCACACUGGAGUAGGGUAUUAUACCACAUCGGUGGCCCGAACCAGUAUGAACUAUUGUGUCUCCGUUCUUUGGGUUCGUCGAGCUAGGCCUUGUGAUUGUUGCGAGAGCGAUCUAGGGAGAGAGAGAGAGAGAGAUCUUCGUGCACACCCCAGUGUUCGAACCUCAAGGGUUUUGCCGGAACCUGAAAUCCGACAUUUGGUGCGCCAGGUAGGGGUGCGUCGAAGCUUUCCUUCCGUCGAUCUGCGCCUCGCCAUCACCGCGCUUCACCCCCAUGGCCGGCACUGCUCUUCCGGCUGCGACGACAAACGCACACGGCGGGGCCAGGGGGCUCCGAGCCUUGGCCCCCGCCUUGCGGCGGGUGCAGUGGCCACCCAAGUUCAAGCCAGAGAUGCCGCCGCGCUACGAUGGCGCGACGGACCCGUCGUCUUUCCUGUUGGCAUAUGAAGGGGCCGUCUUGAAGGCUGGGGGCGACGACAAGGUCAUAGCCAACUGGCUUCCCAUGGCCCUCACUGGGGCACCGCGCUCCCAGCUGCUCAACCUCCCAGGAUCUACGGUGACAUCUUGGGAGGAGCUGCGCAACCUCUUCACUGAGCGAUUCGCGGUACCGGAGCCCCGCGCUGUCGCGGCCCUCCUCGGCGGCUCACAAGUGCCGCCCUCGGACCGUCACGCCAAGCCGUUCUUUCGCCAGAUCGGUGCCGCCUCCACGCGGCAGGGCGCUCCUCCAGGUUGGGCGGCGCCCAAGGCCGACCUGACCUUCGACUCGGGAGAUCACCCCAUCACCACCGUCGGCUCGGGCGUGCUCCCAAUGCUUUGCACGCCCACCAUCUGCAGCGUGGCCGUUACCAAGACCCUCAUCGACAGCGGCGCCGGCCUCAACGUGCUCUCUGUGGAGGCUUUUAGCCUCCUUCAUGUACCGCUCGAGCGGCUCCGCCCCAGCAAGCCCUUCUCCGGGGUCGGCGGCGGCUCCUCCAGUCCCCUAGGGCAGAUCUGUCUUCCCGUGAGCUUCUGCACCCGUGACAACUACCGCACAGAGCUGAUUGACUUCGAAAUCACCCACAUCGGCCUUCCGUACAAUGCCAUCCUCGGGUACCCAGCUCUGGCUCAGUUUAUGGCGGCGACCCAUCCGGCCUACAACCUCAUGAAGAUGCCCGGGAGCAAGGGCGUCCUGACUGUAGUUGGAGAUACCAAGGAGGCUCUGGUGGCACUCAAGCUUGCCCUCAAGGCCGCCGUGAUGGCGCGCCCGGCCGACAAGGCCACCUCUGGAGCUAAGGAGGCCGAGCCAGCCAAGAAGUAGUUGUUCACUCAAGAUCGGGCGGACACCAAGCAGGUGCCGGUCGAGGAAGAUGGGUCUUCUGGAGCCACCUUCACCAUAGGUGCCAACCUCGACUCAGAUCAAGAGGAAGCAUUGGUAAAGUUCUUGCGCGCAAACAAGGAAGUAUUCGCCCGGGAGCCCAAUCAGCUGGUAGGGGUCCCAAGAGGGGUGAUCGAGCAUCACUUAAGGGUGUGCCCCAAUGUGCGCCCUGUGAAGCAGAAGGCACGGCGACAGUCCACGGAGAAGCAGCCCUUCAUCGUCCAGGAAACCCGCAAGCUGGAGGCACCAGGUGUCAUUCGUGAGGUUCGGUACCCCGAGUGGCCGGCGAACCCCGUCGUUGUGCCAAAGAAAGGCGGGAAGGAGCGCAUGUGUGUCGACUUCACCAACCUCAACAAAGCCUGUCCCCAAGAUCCGUUCCUGCUUCCGCGCAUCGACCAGAUCAUUGACUCCACCGCUGAGUGCGACCUACUGUGAUUCCUGGAUGCAUUUUCAGGCUAUCACCAGAUCAAAAUGGCAGUAGAGGAUGUGGAGAAGACGGCCUUCCUGACCCCUUGCGGGGUGUACUGCUACACUUGCAUGCCGUUCGGGCUGGGCAACGCGGGCGCGACCUUCCAACGGCUGAUGCACAUCGCCCUGGGCCAGCAGCUCGGGAGGAAUGCUGAAGCCUACGUCGACGACAUUGUGGUGAAGUCUCGGGAGGCGAGAGCUUUGAUUCAGGACCUGGAGGAGACCUUCAACGAGCCUGCGCCAGGUGGACUUGCGGCUCAACCCGGAAAAGUGCAUAUUUGGUGUCCCCUCCGGCAAUCUGCUGGGCUUCCUCGUGUCCCACAGGGGGAUCGAGGCCAACCCAGAGAAGGUCAAGGCGAUUGAAGACAUGAGCCCAGCACAAACCCUCAAGGAGAUGCAGAAGCUUGCCGGCUGCGUGACUUCACUGGGACGCUUCAUCUCCAAGCUGGGAGAGUGCGCCCCACCGUUCUUCAAGCUGAUGAAGAAGAAGGGCCCGUUCGAGUGGACUCCGGAGGCUGACCAAGCGUUUCAAGAUCUCAAGAGACAUCUGACCAGCCCUCCGAUGAUGGUGGCGCCCCGCCCUCUCGAGCCCCUGGUGCUUUACCUCGCCGCCACUCCUUAUUCAGCCAGUGCAGCUCUGGUAGCAGUUCGGGAAGAGCGUCAGGCCAAGGACACGUCGCGCCAAACCGCGCCCCCAGCCGGGGCGGCGCGAGACCCGAAGGACACCGCGGGGGCUGCAGCAACGCCAACGGAUGACCCAGCUCAUCCUUGGGCCUCGAAUUGCAGCACGUGCCCCGCGACAGCAACAAGGAAGCCGACGACAUUGCCAAGAGAGCAUCCAAGCGGCUACCCCAAAAGCCUGGCGUCUUCGAGCAGCGGCUCUUCAAGCCAUCGGCAACACCACCACUUUCAAUGCCGGCGCUGCCUCGGGAGGAGCUCCCCCAACCACCUGCCUCGGGAGCCCCGGCCUACGGUCCGACCUCGGGAGCGCGCCUACUCUUGGCGCUUGAGCCUCACGAUGGGUGCUGGACCAAGGAGUUCAAGGAAUACCUGAUGCAAGGGACACUGCUGGAGAAGGAGGAGGACGCGAAGCGCGUGGCUCGGCAGGCCACGGCGUACUGCAUCCAGGACGGGGAGUUAUACAGGAAGCGGCCGAAUGACGUUUCCCUGCGUUGUAUCUCCAGGGAACAGGGGAAAGAGCUGCUAGCUGACAUACACGGCGGGGACUGUGGGCACCACUCGUCGUCACGAACCCUCGCCGGCAAGGCGUUCCGCAAUAGGUUCUACUGGCCUAUGACGCUCAACGAUGCGACUGAGCUGGUGAAGUCCUGUGAGGCCUGUCAAUUCCACGCCAAACAGAUCCAUCUGCCAGCUCAGGGCCUCCAAACUAUCCCACUCUCGUGGCCAUUCGCGGUCUGGGGGCUGGAUAUCUUGGGCCCGUUCCCUCGAGCGCCUGGGGGCUACCGCUACCUCUACGUCGCCAUCGACAAGUUCACCAAGUGGGCGGAGGUAGAAGCCGUCCGCACCAUCCCGGCCGGAUCCGUGGUCAAGUUCAUCAAGGGUCUCGUGAGCCGAUUUGGGGUCCCCAACCGCAUCAUCACCGAUAACGGCUCGCAGUUCACUAGCAAUCUCUUCAAGACAUAUUAUGCUAACCUUGGAACGUAGAUCUGCUACGCUUUGGUGGCACACCCCAGGAGCAAUGGUCAGGCCGAACGCGCCAACGCGGAGGUCUUGAGAGGCCUCAAGACCAGGACCUUCAAGAAGAAGCUCGAGGCCUGGGGCAGGGGCUGGCACGAUGAGCUCUAGUCUGUGCUGUGGUCCAUCCGCACCACCGCCACCAAGCCAACAGGCGAGACCCCGUUCUUCCUCGUCUAUGGAGCAGAAGCGGUUCUCCCUCACGAGGUCAAGCAUCGCUCCGCGCGGGGUCCUGGCGUCUGAGGAGGCGCAACAGGACGCCAUGCGGGGGAUGGUCCUCGUGCUGGGGGAGAAACGCCGCCGUGAAGCCACGCUCCGGGCGGCAAGAUACCAGCAAGCGCUGCGGCGGUAUCACUGUCGCAGCGUCCGCUCCAGGAUGUUCGAGGUGGGCGACCUCGUCCUAAGGCGGGUGCUCUCCAGGGAAGGGUUGCACAAGCUCUCGCCCAUGAGGGAGGGCCCGUUUAGGGUCGCCCACGUCUCCAGGCCUGGCGCCGUGCGCCUGGAGACGCAGGACGGGGUACCUAUCCAAAACGCCUGGAACAUCCAGCACCUCCGGAUGUUCUACCCAUGAAGAAAGGCCCGGCGCCUGCGAAGCAAGGCCCAGUGCCUGUGAAGGUCUCCGCUUGUGACACUCUCACGUAGUAAUGAGUGGGGCUGUACAUGCCCCGGAGUCUCAGGAGUGCCUCCCUCGAGCCUCGGGGGCUCCCUCCCACGUCCUAGUGGCAGCACUUAGCUCCGCGUUGGUGAGAAGACAAGAAGACUAGAUUAGGUUCCGGACACGGCUUUUCAUUUGCUUUCCGUAGUUGGCUUGCCCCUCUUUAAUGAAAAUUUACUUUCUGGUGUUCCUUGCCGGUUUGGUUCCAUCGCCUUUUGCCUCCGUUUCUGCUUUCGGUUCCUUGUUUCGACCUGUACUCUCUCGCAUGCUUCGCGAGGGGGCUGGAUAGGUGCCUUCGUGGGGGUUUUUUCCUGUUUUUCGCGAGGCACCCUCGUUCGAGCUCGUAAGCUGGUGCACUUCUCUCAAUCCGUGACCCUCGGGCACUGCGAUGUGAAGCGCUGGAUCAUGGCCAGCGGCGCCUGCGACCAGGGCUCGGAAGAACAAGAGUCUAACGAAUUUUUGCAGUUCCUAGACGCCUCCCAGGCCAAGGAGGCCUCGCCAGGUACUGGGAGAUGCGCGCCUCACGAGGCAAAAACUACUUCGAGCGUGUCAAGCUAAGUUAUCUCUACGUGCCUACAUAAAACGUUGAUGCUGCAAUGCGACACAGGAACAAUAAACAUAGCAUAGCAACUUGGAAACCAUGGUUCGUUGCACGCCCCUACGGGGCCCCAUACUUGUCUCUCUCUCUUAAUGCAGGAAGAAAAGAAAGAACGAAACAAGUGGCGCGUGCCCCUGCAGCAGCUCGCGAGGAUGGACCCGUGGCGCUCUCCUAAGCUCAGCCGGACCCCUCCUCGCGCUUCACUAGGGCGCGGCGACGAGACGACCCACUGCCACCCUCGAAGCGGGUGCGGCAGCGUGACGGCUGGUCGUAGCCACCGCUGCUGGAGCUGUCGCCGGAGGGAGAAUCGGCGUAGCUGGGCGAGUAGCGGCUAGCGCUGAAGGCAAGACCACCCUCACCCUCGUCUCGACCGUCGCCAAGGCCAAGCACCUCGCCGCCGUCAUUGUCCUCGGGGCAGCACCCGUCGCGCCGGCCGUCUUCUUCGAACACCCUCAUGUAGAGGGUCGCGUUGCCGUCGUACUUGAAGUGGAGGGUGCACGCCUGCCCAGACCGCGCGCACGGGCAAACGUCUGACAGCCGCGAGCCAGGGCUGCGUUGCCCGCGACAGAGACCUCGACCGCGACCCAUGAAGCCUUGCUGCAACAGCCGUCCGCCUGCAGCCAGAGCCCGCCUGGACCCGUGGCCGGCAGCUCGCCAACGAAGAAGCGUGGGAGCUGAAGCCAGGUGUCGGCUGGGUUCUCCAACCACACGACGAACUCCGGCAGCACCUCCGCCGAGUGGAAGCACGGCCGGGGAGGCCGUGCGACCAUGGCACGCCUCCCUUCAUCGACGGGGCUGCCACGACCUGGGCGACUCUCACCACGCGAAGAGGCGCCGUCGCGGCCGCGAGGGGCCACGACGGGGGUCGCGGUGAGCUUGCGGGGAUGGCCGCACCCCCUCUUGGGCGGCGGAGAGCCGGGCCCCUCCUGGCGGGCCUUCCCCUUCUCUGCGGCCGAGAACCUCUUCGUAGGCGCCAUGGGAGUCGCUACUAGCAAUGAAGCGAGGAAGAAGAAGUGAGCGGAGCAGGAAGAGAUGAGCGACGGGGGCUCCCCCCCUCCUCAUUUAUAGCAGGCGAAGGCCAACCGGCGAUCCCCACGAUCAUAGGUAAUGAUGAUUUUUCUCUGCAUGCAGCAGGGACUCGUCAAGUCGGGCAGUUGCCGAGGCAGCGUGGGGAAGCGGAGACGCCCACGUCCAAUCAAUCGCCAUGCGUCAAGCGGGGCCGCAGGCUGUUGGGGCCCAGGGCGCUCCGCACUUGCCCUUUGGCUUCGCCUCGAAGCGAAGUCCGAGCGCGCCUUGGGCCCGGGGGCUACUGUCGGCAUCCUGGGAACGGGGUCCCCAGACUUGCCUGCCUGCGGCCCACAACGUGGCUCCACCAGCGGCCCUGUACGACCCAUCCUCACCAGCAAACACUCAAGACCCUCACGAGGGGCCAAGCCUCGUGAGGCGGACGACACAAGACCUCCUCGGGGGCAGCCUCACCAGGUCGCCUCGCAAGGGGCGGAGAGAUCAAGGCAAGGGAGACCUCGCGAGAUUCCUGUGAUGCAAGCCCUGACGACUGGAGCCAGGCGGGCGCCAGCGCGCGCAGUGUCCUCGUUUCCUCUUUGGCGCUAAAGAGGCAAGUGCAGGCGAGGAGUCUCGAGGCAUCAGGCAAAGGUUUCCAUAUCGAUGCAACGAGACCAAGACCAGCAGGACGGCAAGACGGAGGUCACCGUGGAGCCCAAUACGACAUCACCACCAAAGCCUUUGGCAGGCGAAGCACCUUUAGCCAGGAUAACUUGUACUAGUUGUCUCCCUUCGAAUUUGGCCGUUGUUGGAUCCCUUCCCGCUCAAUAUUUGGGGAGAGGACCAGGGCCUCUAUAAAUAGGACUAGCCACCACCAUAGGGGGGGAUCGGGAACGGAUCAUUCAGAUCAUCCUCAACCACACAAGUUCACCAAGCACAAGAACACCUCUCCUCAGGAGGCUGUUCUUCCCGUGUAACUGUUCAUCCUCAGCCCAAGAGGCAAUCCACCACACCACACUGGAGUAGGGUAUUGCACCACAUCGGUGGCCCGAACCAGUAUAAACUCAUGUCUCUCGUUCUUUGGGUUCAUCGAGCUAGGCCUUGUGAUUGUUGCGAGAGCGAUUUAGGGAGAGACAGAUCUUUGUGCGCACCCCAGUGUUCGAACCUCAAGGGUUUUGCCGGAACCUGAAAUCCGACAAUAACUGCAACUGCAACUUCUUUGUAUCUUGAUACUUCUUCUGCAACAUUGAUAGGAGCAUCAGAAACAAAAUCUACUGGCAGUACUUCAGUAUUGUGCUGCAGAAGUGGUUCUGGCACUGGAAUUUCUCUUUGAGGCUGAGGAGGAGAUUCAGCACCCAAAUUGUCACUCUCAGCAGCAAGCAAAGGAUCUUCAGGAACUGCGAAAUCCUCCAGUGGCAGCUGUUCAAUGGGCUGAUUAAGAUCAAAAGCAGCAUGUGCAACAGGUAAGACUGGUUGAAUUUCAGGCAGAACCAGGGGCGCCAAAAGCUCAUCUGGCUCUGGCAUGCCUAGUGCUCCAAUAGCAGACUCAGCAGAGCUAACAUUUGCACUUGGCAAUCCCAAGGAUUAAGUGAGACCACUGUACUCAUCUUCUGGCUGCUCAACAUGCAUUUCAAGAGGUCCCAUCAAAUCAUUUAAUUCUAGAAAUUCUCUAGCUUGAAUUUCCACAUCCACCAGCUGUUGUUGCUGUGGCAUUGCCCAGUGACCCCAGCCUUCAUCUUCCUCAUCCUGUGCUGGAGCUUCCUCAAUAACUGGCAAAUUAUGUUGCUCAGGUUGCAAUAGGUGAAAAGCAACAGGCCCAACCAUAAGAUUGUUCUGAUUGGGGUGAUGGAAUUGCUCUGGUGGCCUUGGAUGAGGGUUGCCAUCUUCGGGAACUGUAUCUUCAUCAGGAGGUGGCACUCCAAUAGGGUUGUCAUCCACAAUCACAACAGGGCAGGUCCAGGACUGACCACUAAAAUUCUUGGCACCAGAAACAACCAGACUAGCCGGGACAUCCUUGAGGGCAUCAACCUUCACUUUCAGGGCAACAACUGCAUCACUAGAUUUGAAUCUAUCCCAGAACAUAAGCUGCCUGAAACUUGCAGUAGCAUUAGACAGUUCAUGAAAACUUCUCAAGUCAACAGGGAAACCGAACACCAUGAGCCACACAUCUCCAAUCAAAUUAAAGUUCUUCCAGUUCAGACCCUCGUUGUGCCUUUGAAAGACGAUGUGAAUGUCAUCAUAGGCAUGCGGCCCUCUAUUAACUAGAAAAUCCCUAUCGGCCGCACCGCGAACAAUCACAUAAGCUUGCCCAAAAGGAGACUUCGUCACAUCAGAGACACCAAUGCGCUUGGACUGCAGAAACUCUAGGAGGAUCUCACGGACAUUGAUAAAACUUACUUCUCCUUGGGGCAUGGGGAUGAUUGUUGCAAUGGCAAGGUCUUCAUUGGCUGGCACAAGAUUGCCAUGGAGCACACGGUGGCACGCAGGCCGCCCUUCCACAUCAAUCGCAUGGAAACCUUCCGGGAGGAAUGAUGCAGGGUCGAAGGGGAACGAAGCCAUUGCCGGCAACCGGAGAGCAGCCGCUUCAGUCGGAACCCUCGAUGAGAGAGCUGGUUGUUGCAGAGGAGAAGGAGAGUGGUGGGAAUGCGAGUCGGUAGCGGCGGUAAUGGCUUGAUUUGACUGAAUAGGGGAAAUGAUGCCCUCUCUAACAGAUGGGCUUAAAUGUGGCGAUUGACGGAAGUCCCGGUCACUAGCCAAAAGUGGGUUCUACAGAAGGGGAGGUUGAAUGCGAGGCAUCGGAUCGGAAAUCGCGCCUCCAAACCUGUAGUUAUUCUUGCAACCGGGACGAAGAUGACCCACACCAAGACAGCGAAUACAGAAUAGGCUGUUGGGCUCCCUAGCAGUCUCGGCCAGCCCAGAGGUUUGAAUUCCCGUGGAUCCCGCCCUCCCGAGAGCCACAUUAUUGGGCGCAGUUAAGACCGGGUUUAACGAUGCCGUUGAUUUGAGUUAGGCGUUCAGAAACUGACAGGGGACGAGUAGCAGCGGAUCUGACCGGUGAUCUAGCCGGAGAUCGAGCAGUGGAGUUGUGGCCGCGAAAGAACCUUGGAGUUUGAACAGCCUCGGCAUAAGAUCUACGAUCACCAGAACGGUUUACCACAGUAUAUUCUUGAUCAAGUUCUUGCUGAUAUAGCCGGAACUCUUUGUGGAAAUCAGGUCCACCAUUGCCCCAAAGGAAAAAACCCAGACUAAAAAGAUCAUUGACGCAAUUCCCCCCUUUGAUGAUAGCAAAACCCACACUCUUGGAUGAAACACUGAACUUGAAGGACCAAUUUUGAAGGCAUGAAACUUUGAAACGAGAAGCAUGACCCCCAAAGCAAGAUUGAAGCAUGAGACUGACCGAAUCAACAUUGAUACGAAGUUUAGAUCGGGUCACCUCUGCCACCAGGAAGAAUUCCUUGAGCUCACCACCUUCAAAAUGAUUGAUUGGCACACCAAAUUGCUUCCAAAUGAAGGCUUCGAAGGCCAAGCCUUGCUCGAACUUGAGAUUAGAGAGAGCCAUCUCGGAGAGGCAGAUCGAACUUGCUCGAGCGGUGGCUGCCGGUGGCCGGAGUGACGGCCGGCAGGUAAUGUGGCCGCCACGGCCAGAGUGGCCAGCGGUGCAGGAGGGGCUAGGCGCAGGUACGUUUUUCGAAAUGAAAUUUAUUCUCUAAAUGAUGAUAAACAAUAGUUGAAAACAUGUACAAAGAAGAAGCACAAAUAACAAAAAGUUCCUUCCAGGCCAUAAUCCAUGCAUGUUAUAUGUCCCCCAUGUCUUUGCCAAUGACCAUGAGUGUCAUGCACUUCAGUUGGUUAAGAUACUAUGAUCUUUCACGUUAAAUCUUCAAAGGUGACAAUUCCAUGUUAAUUACUUUGUAUCUUGAUACGAUGACUUGUAAAAGUAACCAACAAGGUAUUUUUUUCCACACGAGGUAGACAAGUGCGUUCAUCCUGGACUACUAUCGACCAAUUUGAUGGGGCACUCCUUUGCUCUGAUGAGUUAGAUCUCCAGUUAAUUCUUUCUUCCGAAUAUAUUCCUUUUUAUGUGUCUGAUACAGAUGAUGAUGUCCGUGGCUCCAUCGCUGGCGGUGGUCACAAUGCGCAGCCGUAGGAAUGGACAAUAGACAAGCCAACAUGUACUCAGGUGCAUCCUACAACAACACAAUCAAUACUUCUUCCCUAUUUGUCCAAUAUGUUAUUUAUUCCUUUGAUUUAUGUUCAUCCAAGACUAGACAAACAUUUUGAUUUCAUCUUUGUGCAAUUACACAAACCAAACAAGGAAAAGAUGUUUCCAGUUUUUUUAAUAACAUAUUUAUCUUGGUGAUGCCAAAAACCCUUUUAUAGUUGCUAUCAUUUAGUUUUCCCCUGCAUCUCUAUUUUGAAAGUGCAUGGAUAGUGAGAGCUCAAUCUAUAAUUCCUGAUACUAUUGCAAGCUGGUAGAUUGGAGCAAUUUUAGAUGACUCACAGGUUUCUGUUACUCACUUAUUAUCUCUACUCCUAGUUAGGUACAUCAUUCGUUCGUACCCCCUCCCAUCGAUCGAUCACACCUCCCCCAAUGUUUUACACUGUCAAAUGAAGACGUCACCAGGCCCUCGCACCCACUGUCGGCCUCCUCCCCCCACGCACUGCUCUGGCGCCAGCCUCUCCUGCGUACCUCCUUACCCCCGCCGGACGACCACGACACGUGCCCCACCGCCGCCAAGUGCCUCGGUGACGAUGAUGCCCAUUGGUAAGUUCAACCACGGCGGCGCCUUCCAACUCACUGUCCAUGCGCUGGACCUCCUUGCGGCCUACACUCUCGUUCCUCUUCGGCAACUUGUCCAAGUCCGAGCUCGCGGGCAUCACCGAGAAUACCAAGUUCGGCUAUGGCGUCGUCGUCAUCUCCAUAGUCGACGCACCCCUCAGGUUUGGGGUCUCCGCCAGGGGCACGCAGGACUAUAGGAAGGCCGACACCAAUGCUCUGGUGGUGCUCCACCAGUCUAACACUGGUGAGUACCUUUGCAAGGAGGAGGAGCUCAUGUGAGGUGAGGUUUGAGGCUUGAUUUUUCUUGUGUUUACUGAUUUGACCAUAUGCGUCAAUUUUGGGACCCAAUGUCUUACUAUCUUGUUGAGGCUUCAUGCAUAUGGGAUAUCAAUGUGAGGCGAGGCUUCAUGCAUAUGUGACAUGUAUAUGGUAUUCAACUUUGGUUUACUGUACCAUAUUUUUGUUUUUCUACAAGGCUGUUGUAUAUCUCUACUCCUAGGUGGGGAUGGUGCAUCUGUACUAUGGUGCGUCAGCUAACUUUAGUUGUUUCUGAUGCAAAGGCCAAACAUGAAUGUGUCGGCUAACUUCAAUUGGAAGUUAACAUCUAGCUUAAUUUACUUAAGCGGUAGCCUAUAGCAAAUGAUUGGCACUCAUAGUGUACUGUUGGAAUCCCUUUGUUGUAACUUAUAGGCAAAGCACCGAUUAUGCUGAUUGCUAUGUCCUCUUCAGUGUGUCGUAGCACUUGAAAAUAGCGUAGAAAGUAAGACAUGACCCUAUAGUUUUUUUCUUUUCUAAAAUGGACUGUCAUGAUCUCUUAUGAUCCUGGGACAUAACAGGUAAAUAUGUCAUCUUGUAUUUUCUUUGAAGUGAAUCAUUUUGUCCUUCCAAAUGAAACUAUAACAAGCUGUACAUAAAUUUGAUAUGUAGGUCAGAUUCAUCGUUAAGACAAGCCCAAUUUAAGUGAGGGUGAGUACCGAUCUGGGUUGGGCACAAUCUCCUCGAGGGCGGCACCAAGGUUCACUACCUAAAGAAGACCGAUGUAGUAAUUGACAUCGUAGAUAACUGGGUGAAGGUGUUCAAUGAAGGAGAUUCAGAGUCAUCAGUGUAGUAUGGAAACGAUGCACAUGCUGUCAUGGUAGUAGUUGAGGUGGUGUAUAUAUCAAGUGAUCUAUUCUAUAGGCAUUUUCUUUAGGUGUGAUGUUUGAUUUUAAGCAAAUCACGCUUGUUGUAUAAGUUUCUGCCCAUAAUGAUUUGCAGCGAACCUGGAGUGCGGCUUGAUCCAAUGGCUCGAUUGGAGCACUCAAUUGUGAUGAAGCUGUAAACUAGACUUGGUCAGCAGAAAAAAAAUUAGACGUUGCCACCAACAUUAAACAUAACUUGUCAUCUCUCACCAUCAGAUGUAGAUUGAGUCUCUUAAGAAAGUUAAUGAUGUUUACUGAAUGGAGGGAUGAAAACAUAUGCUUUCAGUUAAUUUAUUUUUUUCUUAACAAGUUCUUGUCCGCGAAUCCAUCUUAUUGUAUUGCCAACUUAUGGAAAAAAUAUUGUUGUGGCCAUGCAUGCAUUUUGCAUGUUCUGAAUCCAUGGUUGCUGCAUAAUUUGCCUAAUUUUAAAAAUAUGGCAAAU